rnacentral:tRNA from 1 species
UUGCCGUCUCGUGGGGCCGGAUCGCCGCGACGUCGUAGAAGACGGCGUCGAGCACGGCGUUGCGGCGCUGGAUCGCAUCCAGUGCGACGGU